UAGCUCAGUCCUUGAGAGGUCCUGCAGAUGCCACUGACAUUCUCCUGGAAGAACCCUCCAUCCUCUUCCUGGUCAGGAAAGGGACAAAACAGGGCCCUGGAAGAAUGACUGGAUGGAGGGUGAAGGUGCUGAGAGUGGAGUUGUUCUGUGUUUGAGAGAAACUGUGGAUGAACAUCCCUUAUGGAGCACUGUGGUGUCCCUGCCUGCCCUUCACACCAAAUGGGCUCGAAAGACGAGCAUGCAUCUGCCUGACAGCUUUCAGAGCGAGCCAUCCUUGCCAGCCAAAGCAGAUUCUCUGUGCCUGCUUCCAAGCUGAAACAACUGGUGGCAGAGUGGGGUGUCUCUCCAGUCCUAGCCAUGAAGAGAGGAGAUGAAACAUCCUCCUGCUCACAGCACAGGGAAGAGGCUGGAGCUGGGCUGCUGUCUCCACACCUGUAGAACUGUGGUGAAAUGGGGAUUCUUUGUGUUUCAUUGGCUUCUCUGAGGAAAACA